rnacentral:tRNA from 1 species
AUGACCUUAGCUCAGUUGGUAGAGUGGAGGACUGUAGAUCCUUAGGUCGCUGGUUCGAAUCCGGCAGGUCGGA